UGCCGGCCCCUGGCAGCUGCUGAGGCCACCGGCGUGGCAGCGGCGGGCCGGGGCGUCGGCGGAGGCUGGAGUGGGCGCGGCGGCCACCGCCGUGGCGUUCCUCAGACUCCGCGACCAGGACUGCGCUGUCCAGUAUAGCCACUAGCUGGAAAAAACAAAAACAAAAAACCUGUUGCCCUGGAGUCCAUUCCGACUCAUAGUGACCCUAUAGGACAGACUAGAACUGCCCCCAUAAGGUUUCCACGGAGCGGCUAGUGAAUUCGAACUGCCGACCUUUUGAAAAAGCAGCUCAGCUAAGAUGAAGUACUUUAUUUGGAGGAAAGCAGGAUGAGAUCUGAAUAAGUACAGGGAAAUUUUGGAUUGGGAAUGGUCAAAGUCAGAAAGAACCUACUUUCUUCAUAAACAUGGGUUGCUUUGGCUAUUCGGAGCCCCUCGCAGUUUCAUAUGAAUUCAAGGAUUGAGUUUCUCAUUUCUGCCAAGAAACUGUUGGAAUUUGUGACUUGUGGAAUUAAAGAGAGAGAUGCCUGAAAACUAGAGACAGAGAAGUAUAUUUUUCAGAAAGGGGAAGAAGGAAGACUAUAGAGCUUGCUAUGGCCCUCAGGAUUUGUUUUCAGGAAGGCAGGAGGAAAGGAAGACAUCUCAGGAUCCCAUUUCAAGGGUCCUUUGGCUACAUUUCCACUGUCAGAACAUUUUCUCCAAGAGUCCUGGGCCAGACACCUGGAUUUCCAGAUGGGUUUUGUAGUCAAGGAGAUUUUAGAGAGGGGAGGUAUUUCAGUUAUGUAGAAAAGUUCAGUUAUCUAAAGAAUUUAUUUUAUAAAAUACCACAAAUCUUUGUGACCUAAAACAACAGCAAUUUUUACUUUUCAUGAUUUUGUGGACUGACUGGUAUCAACUGAGUGGUUUUGUUCCACAUGGUGUAGCUGAGGUCACUCAUGGGCUACAUUUAGCUGGAAGCCCGGCUGGACUAGGACAUCUAAGAUGGCCUCUCAUCCUCUAAUACCUCUCACCAUUUGUUAAUGUAGCCCAAGUUUCUUCAUACCAUGGCAUUUAGCUUCCAAGAAGGAAUAUUUCAAGAGGACAAGCCCCAAUAUGCAAGCACUAAUCAAGCCUCUGCUGGCAUCAUUUUGCUAAUGUCUCAUUGGCCAAAGCAAGUCACAUGAUCAAGUCUGGAGUCAGAGUGGGAGGGGACUACACAAGGGUGCAAACACCAGGAGGUUUUGUUCACUGGAGGCCACCACUAUAAUGAUUUACCACAAGUGAGCAGGGCAGUUUUGCACACUGGAUCCUCAGUUGUCAGUGCUUAGGUAUGGAUGCAUAACCUAAGAUCUGGUCCUUGACUUUGCAGUUGCAGAAACUCUAUGUGAUUAGGAGUUCGUGCUUAGCCCCAUGUGUUUAUCUGAAAUUGCUUCUCAUCAUCACUCGAAGACGUGAAUUUAGGCUGUCAUAGUUUUAUCUCAAGAUUCUGUCGUCUAGGCCACAGAUGGUUGAACCAGAGUGGACACCCGACCUAUGACUCUGUUGGCUGAGCGGACGCAAUUGGACUUUCUCUUAAGACUCUGGAAUGGGAAUACUGAGAGACUAAGAUAUAAACUGGUGAAGAGAUUAUAGAAAAUCUCAUAGAUAGUCUAAAACGAGUUCAGAAAUGUAUCUAAACUCCUGAGAUGACUAGAAAAUGAGACUGCUAAACCAUAGUUUAAGUGGUUAAGCGCUAUGGCUGCCAACCAAAAGGUUGGCUGUUCGAAUCCGCCAGGUGCUCCUUGGAAACUCUAUGGGGUAGUUCUACUCUGUCCUCUAGGGUCGCUAUGAGUCGGAAUCGACUCAGCAACAGUGGUUUUAAACCAUAGUUAUUAAGAGAUUGGCUGCUAACCAAAAGGUUGGCAGUUUGAAUCUACCAGCUGCUUCUUGGAAGCCCUGUGGGCAGUUCUACUUUGUCCUAUAGGGUCGCUAUGAGUUGGAAUCAACUUGAUGGGAACAGGUAUUCACUAGUGGAUAUAUGUUUCUGCUGAUUCUCUUAUGCUCCAUGACAAUAUCUAGCUGCAAGGGAGGCUGGGAAAUGUCAUCUCUAGCUGAGUAGCCAUGCACCCAACUACUAUGGAAGAAGGGGAAAGUGUAUUUCAGUGAAGACUUAGCUGCUGCCUCCUUCCCCCCACCCCCUCCCCACACAGCAUAGUGUUCAAUUCCUGGUUACCUUUCAGGAGGGAGAAAGACAAGAGUGUAUUUACAGGGAGUAAACAGGAUGAUGAAGGCCUUAAAAUCAGGCCAUAAACAGAUUGGUUGAAAACUUGGGGAUCAUUGUAUUGAAUAUUUAGGAAACGAAAUGGCUGCUUUUGAAUGUUUUACGUGCAAAAAGAGAUAAAUGUUAUUCUGUAAAGGCUCCAGGAGUAAAUAUAAUAAGAGGAGUUUGUUUUUUUUUUAACCAGUAACCAGUUGCCAUCAAGUCAGUUCUUAACUCAUGGCUCAGAGAAAUGUAUUUAUGUUCAUUAUAAGAAAAGAAGAUUCUAGCAGAGUUGUCCAGAAUGAUUUACACCUCAGGUACAUUGUGAACUAGAAGAAGAGACCAAAAAAAAAAAAAAAAUUUUUUUUAUUGAGUACCUAUUAUGUGCUCAACACUAUUGAGGCACUUUCACAGAUUUGUUGCUUCCAACUCUGAGAGUCUGUUGCAGCUCCACGUACUUUUCUCCAAACCUUAUUUUUCGUGACUUACUGACAAGCCUGCAAAGAGCAUAUAUGAGUUAAAUUUGUGGGGUAGAGCAUCCUAGGAGUAAACCCUGGAGGGUGUUGUGUAUGUUCAAGUUGUGAGUUCUGUGGUAGAUGGAGAAGUUGGCCAGGGUGCGGAAAGAAGGAAGCAUAUCACUUAGUUAUUUUCUGAUUCUCAGCAGUAACCUGAGAUCUUCCAGAAGGGGUUAUAUACUCCUGACCUGCAUAGCUUUGUGGCGGCCCUCCUGUCUGCCGUAUUACCACACUGCCAAGAAGUAUGAGAUGGCUGCUUUGAAAGCUCUGUCCAAUGUACGAAUGUCCGGUGUCUUCCAUAUAGCUCCUGUGGGUACUAGUGGGAGACAAGAUGCCUUUCUUGAUAUGAGUUCCUGGUUGUUUACUGGAGUCAACAAGACUGUUUUGUCAUUCCUUGUACUUCUGGAUCCAAAGAUCUAAGAGAACAGAGGGGCCCCCAAAUCUGCAAUUCACAUAAACAAAGUGACAGAGUGACAGGAAAUGGGCCAGGGCACAGAAACGAAGACAUUCCCCAGAACGAUGGGGCAGGGUAUCAGAAUCUAGCCCACAAACUUCUUUAAAGUUGUCUCUCAGAAGCAACCAGAUGAAAUGAGCCCCAGAGAUAUGCGUCGAACAUCCACCUGUGACCGCUGUGUGACCUUUCACCAGGGGCAGUGAAGGGCUGCAGCCGCAGCUGGGGAAUCGAACUCAGAGUGAGAGACUGCGCAGGCAUGACACCCCAUAAGUCCUACUAUGAAUUCCAGAGGCCUGUGGGACAGGAGCCAUCUUAGAAAGCAGCUGCGCGUGCACCUUCGGUAGCCUAUCCCCACCCAAAACUGGCUAGUUACCGGAAAACCCCGCCUGUGCCUCUGAAUAAACAUGAAUCUUUUUCACACUCAAGUAUUUAAAAGCCCGUGCAAGUCCUUCGUUCUGUGAGACGGGCGGUAAGCAUUGCCUAGGCCUUCCUUACCUCUGCUUGCAAGCCUCUUCAGUAAAGCUUUGCUGGUGUGCCUUACCUGCUCAUUCUUGACCAGUGAGAGGCAAGAACCUUAUUUAAUUAAAGGCAUAGAGACUCUGGCAACAGUUCUGAAUCUCCUCAAUAUUUCUGCUUGUUUCUCUUUAAUUGAACACUCACCUCAGUCAAUCCUAAGCUCUAAUGUUAUGCUGGUCUACCAGUGUGGACACUGAAGUGACAAAGUUUUAGGAAGAGACCCUAAAACUUUAAACCUCCUUGAAGCUUGUGAUAAACUUUAGUGUUUAUGUGCCCGCAAGUAAGAAUUGCCACACUUCGCUGGGAAGUUGGAGGAGAGCUAAGAGAUUGAAGUAGAAAUGUAUUUGGACAUAAAAAUAUUUUAGUCAAGCUGUGAAGAAGCAGCACAGGGGAUGAUUUGAGGCCCCUGGAGCCAUCAAGUAGCAUGAUUGGCAAUACCGUCUGGAGAACAAGGGUGUUCUGUGUGAACAGUUUCUCACACUUACCCACACUCCACCUUCCAGCCCUGUCUCUGUGUCUUUUAAAUCUAGUGCCUCAGAUUUAGUCAGAUGAUAAUAGACACUUGUCAUGCCUGAGUGAAAGGUUCCAAAGGGAGGUUGGAAGGCUCUUAUAACCCUGAGGAAGAAAGGAUGUUUACAGUCCAGUUGAACCUAUCCACCUAAAGAGCUUUAGUCAGCUUCCUCCCAGUUCGCCUAGUGGAAAGCGCACUUCAUCACAGCAGGUGACAAUUUUUUCCCAAAGAAACACAGAAGGUAGACUCAAAUGAGAAAGGCAUAUUCUUUCAAUUGACUUCCUAAGGCGCUCUAAGCUUUUGUCUUUAGCCUACUUGUAAUAAGUGCCAUCAAAUUAGCCAAGAAUGACUCUAUCUGAGCAUCCAGGAGUAGGGGCCUGUCUAGAAAAAUUAGUGCCUAUGGUAAUUAGUUUUAAAUUGCUGAAUGAUCUCACAGCUGACAAUGGAAACUUCAAUGGCCAAUAGAAACUGCUCAUUAGAGCCCUUCCUCAAGCAGUACUCAGGGUACACGUCCUACUUGCGAUACCUUAGGUACACCUCUGUCAAGAGGAGUGAAACCAAAGAGAGUGUGGGUGGGUACGAUGUCAUUUCUCCUCAUAAGGAUUAUUUCCUUGUUCUAGAUUGCAAAAAGUGAAAUUAUGUUAAAAGAUAUGAACAUUGUGAAGGACCUUGAUACGUGUUGCCGAACUGCCUUCUUGAAAAGUAGUACCAGAUCAUGACACUGAACUCAAGUUCCUUAUAGACCCACUGCUGUCUUUGGACAAUUUCUCAUAGAAAUACACAACGCUAAGGUACUAGGUAUAGUACCUUAGUGUUGUGUAUUUCUAAAGCUAACAGCUGUACUAUAUUCCUGAAUCUUACUACCAGCUCCCAUUCUUACAAUUUAACCAUAACAUUGAUAACUUUUUUUUUUUUAUUGAUAACUUAGAACUCUUUGCCCUACUCACUCUAGGGACUGAGUGUACUUGAAAAAUUAAUUUUAGAGUAAGUCCUUAUAUGUAAAGCUCCCAUUCCAGGAUUAUAUGCACCUGAAUAUAUACCCACUACACUAGGCAUACUCUUGACAUGAGCUUGGCACAUCACCUGGCAGCAUUUUGUUGGAGAAUAUAAAGACAUGUUCCUAAGGAAUCUCAGGGUGCCUCCUACACACACUUUUAAAAAUGUGCUUGUCGUUAAAGUAUUUGCACUGUGUGUAGUCCCUUGAUGCAGAAAUAGACAAAGGAAAAAGGGAGAGAGACUUUGUAACUGUUAUUCAUUGCUGUAUUUCAACACCAAAAACAAUGCCUGGCACAUAGUAGAAGCUCAAUAAAUAUUUGUUAAAUGACUGAGUGAAA